UGGAGGCAGCAGUGAGGAAUUUUACACAAUGGGCGAAAGCCUGAUGUAGCGACACCGCGUGAGCGAAGAAGCCCUUUGGGGUGUAAAGCUCUGUCAACAGGGACGAAUAAAUGACGGUACCUGUGGAGGAAGCAUCGGCUAACUACGUGCCAGCAGCCGCGGUAAGACGUAGGAUGCAAGCGUUGUCCGGAUUUAUUGGGCGUAAAGAGUUCGUAGGUGGUUCGUUAAGUCUGAUGUUAAAGACUGGGGCUCAACCCUGGGAGUGCAUUGGAUACUGGCGGACUGGAGUGCAGUAGAGGCAAGCGGAAUUCCCAGUGUAGCGGUGAAAUGCGUAGAUAUUGGGAAGAACACCGGUGGCGCAAGCGGCUUGCUGGGCUGUAACUGACGCUGAGGAACGAAAGCUAGGGGAGCAAAUGGGAUUAGAUACCCUGGUAGU
rnacentral:rRNA from 1 species